rnacentral:rRNA from 1 species
UACAUGCAGUCGUGCGAGAAAGUACCUUCGGGUGCGAGUAGAGCGGCGGACGGGUGAGUAACGCGUAGGAAUCUACCUAGCUAGAAGGGGAUAGCCCGGGGAAACUCGGAUUAAUACCGUAUACCUCCUCAGGGAGAAAGAGGGCUUAGCUUUGAUGCUCUCGCUAUUAGAUGAGCCUGCGUAAGAUUAGCUUGUUGGUGAGGUAAUGGCUCACCAAGGCGACGAUCUUUAGCUGGUCUGAGAGGACGAUCAGCCACAUUGGGACUGAGACACGGCCCAGACUCCUACGGGAGGCAGCAGUGGGGAAUAUUGGACAAUGGGCGCAAGCCUGAUCCAGCCAUACCGCGUGUGUGAAGAAGGCUUUCGGGUUGUAAAGCACUUUAAGUAAGGAGAAAAAGAUUGUAGUUAAUACCUGCAAUCCGUGAUGUUACUUACAGAAUAAGGACCGGCUAAUUCCGUGCCAGCAGCCGCGGUAAUACGGAAGGUCCAAGCGUUAAUCGGAAUUACUGG